rnacentral:rRNA from 1 species
GAUGAACGCUGGCGGCGUGCUUAACACAUGCAAGUCGAACGAUGAAGUCCAGCUUGCUGGGUGGUUUAGUGGCGAACGGGUGAGUAACACGUGAGUAACCUGCCCUUGUCUAUGGGAUAAGCGCUGGAAACGGCGUCUAAUACCGGCUACGUGCUUCCACCGCAUGCUGAGUUGUUGGAAAGAAUUUCGGUCAACGAUGGACUCGCGGCCUAUCAGGUAGUUGGUGAGGUAACGGCACACCAACCCGACGACGGGUAGCCGGCCUGAGAGGGUGACCGGCCACACUGGGACUGAGACACGGCCCAGACUCCUACGGGAGGCAGCAGUGGGAAAUAUUGCACAAUGGGCGCAAGCCUGAUGCAGCUACGCCGCGUGAGGGACGAAGGCUUUCGGGUCGUAAACCUCUUUUAGCAGGGAAGAAGCGAAAGUGACGGUACCUGCAGAAAAAGCACCGGCUAACUACGUG